rnacentral:sRNA from 3 species
GGGGAAGGGUGAGAACCUUCGAUUAAGGUUCGACUUGAGCGAAAGCGAGAGAACGUUGCCAACGGCAACGGCCCGUAGGUUGAGGAGCGAAGCGACGAAUAAUCCUUCCCCCACCACCA